GCUCAGUUGGUUAAGCAUCUGACUCUUGGUUUCGGCUCAGGUCACAAUCUCAGUUUGCAGGUUCGAGCCCUGCAUUGGGCU
rnacentral:tRNA from 1 species